rnacentral:rRNA from 1 species
UUAAUGAGAGUUUGAUCCUGGCUCAGGACGAACGCUGGCGGCGUGCCUAAUACAUGCAAGUAGAACGCUGAAGAGAGGAGCUUUCUCUUCUUGG